AAAUCUUCAUGCAAUUUAACAGAUGUCAAGGGCUUUUUGGCAAGGGAAUAAAAAUUCCAAUUUUCUCCCAUCCUUUGUUUUCGUCCCUCUUCUCUAAAUAAUUUCUCCCAUCUCAAAAACCCCUGUAUCAGUGAGUGUUGAAGGGUGAACCACUGAGAUUUCGUUGAUAAAGAUCCUUGAGUUGUAAUAGUGUGAAGAGUUCGAGAACAAGACUGCAAAUGGGUGCUCUUGCUGUGGAAUUAGCGGUUGAGAGCUAGGAUUGAGCCUGGGACAGUAAGCUAUAAGAAGCUUGCGGCAGCGAAGCUGGAGACACAAAGUUGGUAUUCGCUUUGUCGUCCUUAUAUAUGUAUAUAUCAUGGCAUAAUUAAUAGGUGAACUUGGGAGUAUUUCGGACACACUAUUCAUGUUUGAUUUGUUUCAAAAAAAUUUAAAAUUUUCCGCUGUUUAAUACUCAAAUGCUGUUGUAAAUGAAUGUUAGUUUACAAAACACCUAUUUUAUUAGCGAAGUAUUGUUGAAGUA